AUUGAACGCUGGCGGCAUGCCUUACACAUGCAAGUCGAACGGUAACGGGCCUUCGGGUGCCGACGAGUGGCGAACGGGUGAGUAAUACAUCGGAACGUGCCCGAUCGUGGGGGAUAACGAGGCGAAAGCUUUGCUAAUACCGCAUACGAUCUACGGAUGAAAGCAGGGGACCGCAAGGCCUUGCGCGGACGGAGCGGCCGAUGGCAGAUUAGGUAGUUGGUGGGAUAAAAGCUUACCAAGCCGACGAUCUGUAGCUGGUCUGAGAGGAUGAUCAGCCACACUGGGACUGAGACACGGCCCAGACUCCUACGGGAGGCAGCAGUGGGGAAUUUUGGACGAUGGGCGCAAGCCUGAUCCAGCCAUGCCGCGUGCAGGAUGAAGGCCUUCGGGUUGUAAACUGCUUUUGUACGGAACGAAAAGCCUUCUUUUAAUACAGGAGGGUCAUGACGGUACCGUAAGAAUAAGCACCGGCUAACUACG
rnacentral:rRNA from 1 species